rnacentral:rRNA from 1 species
AGUGAACGCUGGCGGCAGGCCUAAUACAUGCAAGUCGAACGGCAGCACAGCAGAGCUUGCUCUGUGGGUGGCGAGUGGCGGACGGGUGAGGAAUACGUGGGAAUCUGCCCAGUCGUGGGGAUAACGUAGGGAAACUUACGCUAAUACCGCAUGCGCCCUUCGGGGAAAGCCGGGGACCUUCGGGCCUGGCGCGAUUGGAUGAGCCCAGUCGGAUUAGCUAGUUGGCGGGUAAAGGCCCACCAAGGCGACGAUCCGUAGCUGGUCUGACGAGGAUGAUCAGCCACACUGGAACUGAGACACGGUCCAGACUCCUACGGGAGCAGCAGUAGGGAAUAUUGGAC